rnacentral:rRNA from 1 species
AGACCGAUAGCGAACAAGUAGAGUGAUCGAAAGAUGAAAAGCACUUUGAAAAGAGAGUUAAACAGCACGUGAAAUUGUUGAAAGGGAAGCGUUGUCCACCAGACUCGCCCGGGGGGGCUCAGCCGGCACGUGUGCCGGUGUACUCCUCUCCGGGCGGGCCAGCAUCGGUUUGGGCGGCUGGUGAAAGGCCCCGGGAAUGUAACACCCUCCGGGGUGCCUUAUAGCCCGGGGUGCCAUGCGGCCAGCCUGGACCGAGGCCCGCGCUUCGGCGAGGAUGCUGGCGUAAUGGUGGUCAACGGCCCGUCUUGAAACACGGACCAAG